rnacentral:rRNA from 1 species
CCUACGGGAGGCAGCAGUGAGGAAUAUUGGUCAAUGGACGAGAGUCUGAACCAGCCAAGUAGCGUGAAGGAUGACUGCCCUAUGGGUUGUAAACUUCUUUUAUAUGGGAAUAAAACAGGGUAUGCAUACCCUCUUGUAUGUACCAUAUGAAUAAGGAUCGGCUAACUCCGUGCCAGCAGCCGCGGUAAUACGGAGGAUCCGAGCGUUAUCCGGAUUUAUUGGGUUUAAAGGGAGCGUAGGUGGAUUGUUAAGUCAGUUGUGAAAGUUUGCGGCUCAACCGUAAAAUUGCAGUUGAAACUGGCAGUCUUGAGUACAGUAGAGGUGGGCGGAAUUCGUGGUGUAGCGGUGAAAGGCUUAGAUAUCACGAAGAACUCCGAUUGCGAAGGCAGCUCACUGGACUGUAACUGACACUGAUGCUCGAAAGUGUGGGUAUCAAACAGGAUUAGAUACCCCAGUAGUC